GCAGUCGUGGCGGAGUGGGUUAAGGCGAUGGACUAGAAAUCCAUUGGGGUCUCCCUACACAGGUUUGAAUCCCGUCGAAUGCG
rnacentral:tRNA from 2 species